CGGGACGGGUGAGUAACGUGUGGGCAACCUGCCCUAUACUGGGGAAUAAUCACUGGAAACGGUGACUAAUACCGCAUGUCAUUACGGAAGGGCAUCCUUCUGUAAGAAAAGGAGUAAUUCGGUAUAGGAUGGGCCCGCAUCUGAUUAGCUAGUUGGUGAGAUAACAGCCCACCAAGGCGACGAUCAGUAGCCGACCUGAGAGGGUGAUCGGCCACAUUGGGACUGAGACACGGCCCAA
rnacentral:rRNA from 1 species